UAAUACGGGAGUGGCAAGCGUUAUCCGGAAUUAUUGGGCGUAAAGCGUCCGCAGGCGGCCCUACAAGUCUGCUGUUAAAAAGUGGAGCUUAACUCCAUCAUGGCAGUGGAAACUGUUGGGCUUGAGUGUGGUAGGGGCAGAGGGAAUUCCCGGUGUAGCGGUGAAAUGCGUAGAUAUCGGGAAGAACACCAGUGGCGAAGGCGCUCUGCUGGGCCAUCACUGACGCUCAUGGACGAAAGCCAGGGGAGCGAAAGGGAUUAGAUACCCCUGUAGUCCUGGCCGUAAACGAUGAACACUAGGUGUCGGGGGAAUCGACCCCUCCGGUGUCGUAGCCAACGCGUUAAGUGUUCCGCCUGGGGAGUACGCACGCAAGUGUG
rnacentral:rRNA from 1 species